UACGUAGGCAGCAAGCGUUGUUCGGAGUUACUGGGCGUAAAGGGCGCGUAGGCGGUGGACACAGUCAGGCGUGAAAUUCCUGGGCUCAACCUGGGGGCUGCGUUUGAUACGUGUUUUUGCUAGAGUGGGGGAAGAGGGUCGUGGAAUUCCCAGUGUAGAAGGUGAAAUUCGUAGAUAUUGGGAAGAACACCGGUGGCGAAGGCGGCGACCUGGUCCGAUACUGACGCUGAGGCGCGAAAGCGUGGGGGAGCAAACAGGAU
rnacentral:rRNA from 1 species